CAUAGACCUACACACACACCACACACACAUCUACACCCACCACACACACCUCCACACACACCUACACUCAUACACCUACACAGACACCCCUACACACACACCACACCUACACACUCAUGCACCUACACACACCCCUACACACACCACACACACACCUACACACUCAUACACCUACACACCCCCACACCACACACACAUCUACACCCACCACACACACCUCCACACACCACACCUCCACUCAUACACCUACACACAGCCCUACACACACCACACCUACACACCCAUACACCACACACACCCACACACACCACACACACACAUCUACACCCACCACACACACCUCCACACACCACACCUACACACACCACACCUCCACUCAUACGCCUACACACACACCCCUACACACACCACACACACACCUCCACUCAUAAACCUACACACACAGCCCUACACACACCACACACACAUAUCUACACCCACCACACACACCUACACACACACAUUCAUACACCUACACACACCCCUACACACACACCACACCUACACUCAUACACCUACACACACCCCUACACACACCACACACACAUCUACACCCACACCUACACACACCACACCUAUACUCAUACACCUACACACACCCUUACACACACCACACCUACACACUCACCCCUACACCUACACAUACACACCUACACACACCACACACCUACACCUACCCACACCUACACCUACACAUACACACCUACACUCAUACACCUACACACACACCUACACUCAUACACCUACAUACACACCCUUACACACCUACACACACCCCUACACACACACGCCUCCC
rnacentral:lncRNA from 1 species